UGAAAAUGUGUGUGUGUGUGUGUGUGUUUGGCUGCUCUCAGUGUAUGCGAUGAACUAUUUUGAAUGUUUUGGCUAUGAGGAAUGUGGGCCCACCUCACAUGUACAGAAGCAUUAAAUACCUGUUUCCAGAGAGCUGUGUCGGGACUGCGAUGUCAUUCGAAACGUGCUCUGGUGAGUUCACUAGUCCCUGCCUGCUUUCUCAUCUUCAGAUUAAUUUCAGUCAUAGAGGUACCACUAAGUGGCACAGGCUCCGAGGUACCUGCUCCAUUUGAACCGCUCUUGACCAGUGAGAACGUGGGGAGCUGCUGGGACCGGUCCAGAGUGGAGAACGCUGCAGCGUCUCUCGGGGAGAACCUCACCGGUCACCUUCCACAGACCGGUGACUUGCUGUCAGCCCACUGAGUAGAGACUUGAACGACAGCCCAGUGGUCAGCAAACCAGGGAGGAUACGUCAUCGAUGGCGCCUACCAUGUGUGGGACCGUUGCUUGGUGUGACCUUCGGACCGCGGUGAGGAACAACCGGUCUGACGAGGCGCUUUUGAACGACGUUCGCCCUGCGGCCUCCGCUCUCCUGUCCUCGCGCCUGGUUGACCCAGCUCAGCUCUAUGUUCCAGAUCGCUGCCCACAGCUGGAAACGUCUUGGUCGGGUGGAGUCGCUGCGACCGAGAGACGUCUCGGCAGCCUGGAGCUCCGCGGCUGUGACACGUUAUCUGUGGCUGCAGUAUAAAGCACAGCGUGGGGGCAAAUUAACACCAGGGUUUUUUCUUUAUGGGUCACCACUGGAACACAUUGGAACCAGCAAACUGGCUAUUCGUGUCAGCUGUGACCUGACAACACACACCGCAUGCAUGCAGACCUACGCUUCACAUCUUUGCUCUCAUCUUUGUCUGCCGAAGGAUAUCGGUCUCACCGUACACGAACUCCACACCCAUGUAA
rnacentral:lncRNA from 1 species